UACGUAGGGUGCAAGCGUUAUCCGGAAUUAUUGGGCGUAAAGAGCUCGUAGGCGGUUUGUCGCGUCUGCUGUGAAAACUGGAGGCUCAACCUCCAGCCUGCAGUGGGUACGGGCAGACUAGAGUGCGGUAGGGGAGAUUGGAAUUCCUGGUGUAGCGGUGGAAUGCGCAGAUAUCAGGAGGAACACCGAUGGCGAAGGCAGAUCUCUGGGCCGUAACUGACGCUGAGGAGCGAAAAGCAUGGGGAGCGAACAGG
rnacentral:rRNA from 1 species